UAGAGAGCUUGCUCUCUGAUGGCGAGUGGCGAACGGGUGAGUAAUACAUCGGAACGUGUCCGUUUGUGGGGGACAACCACCCGAAAGGGUGGCUAAUACCGCAUAAGACCUGAGGGUGAAAGCCGGGGACCGCAAGGCCUGGCGCGAACGGAGCGGCCGAUGACUGAUUAGCUGGUUGGCGGGGUAAAGGCCCACCAAGGCGACGAUCAGUAGCUGGUCUGAGAGGACGACCAGCCACACUGGAACUGAGACACGGUCCAGACUCCUACGGGAGGCAGCAGUGGGGAAUUUUGGACAAUGGGGGCAACCCUGAUCCAGCCAUGCCGCGUGCGGGAAGAAGGCCUUCGGGUUGUAAACCGCUUUUGUCAGGGACGAAAAGGUGCGGGUUAAGAGCUAGCACUGAUGACGGUACCUGAAGAAUAAGCACCGGCUAACUACGUGCCAGCAGCCGCGGUAAUACGUAGGGUGCGAGCGUUAAUCGGAAUUACUGGGCGUAAAGCGUGCGCAGGCGGUUGGGUAAGACAGAUGUGAAAUCCCCGGGCUUAACCUGGGAACUGCAUUUGUGACUGUCCGACUGGAGUAUGUCAGAGGGGGGUGGAAUUCCAAGUGUAGCAGUGAAAUGCGUAGAUAUUUGGAAGAACACCGAUGGCGAAGGCAGCCCCCUGGGGCAAAACUGACGCUCAUGCACGAAAGCGUGGGGAGCAAACAGGAUUAGAUACCCUGGUAGUCCACGCCCUAAACGAUGUCUACUGGUUGUUGGAGGGUAAAACCUUCAGUAACGAAGCUAACGCGUGAAGUAGACCGCCUGGGGAGUACGGUCGCA
rnacentral:rRNA from 1 species